UAAACCUGCAGACACUGAGCUGGAAUUACAGAGAAGUCACAAGAAGGAGAGGAGAAGCAAGUGGGCCAGGUUGAUGCAAGGGGACUCAGGGUCCUGAGGGGUGGUGGUGAUGGGAAGGGGGGUGUGUUCGAGCUAGAAAUAUUAUCUAUUGAUUUAAUAUCAUAAAUCAUGCUGGAGACAGUCUUCUGGGUCCUGAGAGUGAGGGCGCUGGCCUGGGAGUCAGGAAUCCUAGGUUUGAGUCUGGUUCCUUCAUUGCCUUCAGGGUGACUUGGGCAGGUUGGAACCUCUCUGGACCUUGGGUUUUAUUUCUAUAAAACUCAGGGAGAGAGUGUGUGGGGAGGUGCCUGAUGGUUUUCAGGUCCCUCUCAGUGUUAGGAUGCUUGACUCUAUCGACCACCAGUGACAGAUGGCAGCUGGGUUUGGCACUGUAGCCUGGGGUUUAACGCAAUGCCUCUGCCGGGAAGGGAGACUUCUUUACAGUUGGGUGUGGAAAGAAUCAUGGAUGGCUUCAUGGAAGAAGAGGGCCUUAUGUCACAGGUCAGGCUUUGAAAGGAAGAGAGGAUAGAGGUGGAAAGCUUCUACUUCCAAAUGGGAUCAGGUAUUUAUCUUGGGGCCCAGGAAGAACCAUGAUUUCUGGGAUGAGGGGAAAAAAAAAGACCAGCCAUGGUGAGA
rnacentral:lncRNA from 1 species